AACAGCUGAAUCAAUAAAGAAAAUAUAGUACAAUUACAUAAUGGAGUGCUAUUCAGCCAUAAAAAAAUAAGAUUCCGUCAUUUGCAACAACAUGGAUGGAACUGGAGGUCAUUAUGUUAAGUGAAAUCAGUCAGGCACAGAAAGACAGACUAAAUGCUCUCACUUAUUUGUGGGAGCCAACAAUUAAAACAAUUGAACUCAUAGACGUAGAGAGUAGAAGGAUGCUUACCAGAGGCUGGGAAGCAUAAUGUGGUGGGGGGAGUGGGUAGGGCGUGGGGAAUGGAGAUGGUCAAUGGGUACAAAAAAAUUAGAAAGUGUUGGGAGCAGGCCCCCCAAAAUCUGGCCAUAAACUGUCCCUAAAAUUGACCAUAAACAAAAUCUCUGCAGCACUGUAACAUGUUCAUAAUGGCCCUAACGCCCAAGCUGGAAGGUUGUGGGUUUAUGGGAAUGAGGGCAAGGAACACCUGGCCCGCCCAGGACGGAAAACUGCUUAAAGGCGUUCUUAAGCCACAAACAAUAGCAUGAGUGAUCUGUGCCUUAAGGACAUGCUCCUGCUGCAGUUAACUAGUCCAACCUAUUCCUUUAAUUCAGCCCAUCCCUUUUCCCAUAAGGGAUACUUUUAGUUAAUUUAAUAUCUAUAGAGACAAUGCUAAUGACUGGUUUGCCAUUAAUAAAUACGUGGGUAAAUCUCUGUUCGGGGUUCUCAGCUCUGAAGGCUGUGAGACCCCUGAUUUCCUACUUCACACCUCUGUAGUUCUGUGUGUGUGUCUUUAAUUCCUCUAGCGCUGCUGGGUUAGGGUCUCCCCGACUGAGCUGGUCUCGGCAAGUGGUGUCCAUUCGUGGGGGCUCAAAUCCAGGUCGAAGGGUCGCCAGAGCAACAGUUGGAAUGGAAAACCAGCUGGAGGACACAGGAGUACUCUUAAAGCAAUCCCCGUGGCCAAAAUCAACAGCUGAUCUGGAUACCAUCAAUACACCUGAAACCUUAGCAUAAGCCAGAUUACAGGAGGAUCCCGAGGACCCCCCAGUUGCAGCCAUGUCAAGACUGAUGCUGAGGAGGACCCCAAUUGUCACGAGCAACACCCGUCAAACACAGCCACCCACCUGGGGACAGAUCAAGAAGCUGUCACAGAUGGCGGAAGAAAACCUGAGGAAAGCGGGACAACCAGUCACAAUGAAUAAUUUAAUGGUAGCUAUGAUAGCGGUUAUCACCACUGCCAUGAGUAUUCCUUCAACAGGGGCUGACACAGAGAACAGUUAUACUUAUUGGGCAUAUUUAUCAAUCUUGGCCGGCAAUAAUGCCUGGAUGCAAUCACUCUGACACAGUUACACAUGCUUUCUGAUCUCAGUAUUUACCAUAAUAAAUCUGCUCAUAUAAUUGAGGCAUACCAUCCUCAAAAACCUUUUUGUAAACAGGAUUGGACCCAGUUAGAAAAAGAUGAACGUACUUGUUUAGGAAGAUUGCUUUGCAGAACAGACAGAGGUGCUGCACAAUGAUUCCUAUGGAAUCAUUAUUAAUUGGUACCCUAAGGGGAUGUUUAGCUUGAAUUGCACCUCUCAGUCUGCGUGCCAUGGCCACACUAUGUUCAGAUGAUCUGAACAAAACGGUCAGAUGGUAGAAAUGAUAAGAAGUAUGGCAAAAGUUCCUAUUAUCUGGAACCGUGGCGGUAUAGUGGCACCUCAACCUCAAAUGAUAUGGCCUGCUCUAGAAGCUUAACAUAAGGAUUUGUGGAAACUAUUAGAUGUUCUUAAUAAGAUCAAAAUUUGGGAAAGAAUAAAAAGGCAUCUAGAAGGACACUCUACAAACUUGUUUUUGGAUAUGGCAAAAUUAAAAGAACAAAUAUUUAAAGCAUCCCAGGCACACCUGACCUUAAUGCCAGGAACUGGAGUCCUUAAAGGAGCUGCAGACAAAUUAGCAGCUAGUAACCCAUUAGAAUGGAUAAAAACACUUGGAAGCUCUGUAUUUCAAUGAUGAUUGUGCUUUUAAUCCAUGUUGUUUGUCUUUGUAUAGUGUGCAGAUGUGGAUCCUGACUCCUGUGAGAAGUAGCUCACUGUGACAAAGCUGCCUUUGCUUUUAUCUCUUUGCAAAUCAAAGAAGGGAGACAUGUUGGGAGCAGGCCCCCCCAAAAUCUGGCCAUAAACUGUCCCCAAAACUGGCCAUAAACAAAAUCUCUGCAGCACUGUAACAUGUUCAUAAUGGCCCUUAACACCCAAGCUGGAAGGUUGUGGGUUUAUUGGAAUGAGGGCAAGGAACACCUGGCCCGCCCAGGAUGGAAAACCACUUAAAGGCAUUCUUAAGCCACACACAAUAGCAUGAGCAAUCUGUGCCUUAGGGACAUGCUCCUGCUGCAGUUAACUAACCCAACCUAUUCCUUUAAUCCGGCCCAUCCCUUCGUUUCCCAUAAGGGAUACUUUUAGUUAAUUUAACAUCUAUAGAAACAAUGCUAAUGACUGGUUUGCUGUUAAUAAAUACGUGGGUAAAUCUCUGUUCGGGGGCUCUCAGCUCUGAAGGCUGUGAGACCCCUGAUUUCCC
rnacentral:lncRNA from 1 species